AACGCACAUUGCGCCCCUUGGUAUUCCGGGGGGCAUACCUGUUCGAGCGUCAUUUCAACCCUCAAGCCUAGCUUGGUAUUGGGCUUUCAUUUAUAAAAAGAUGAAGCCUCAAAGUCAGUGGCGGCGCUGUUGGGUCCUGAACGUAGUAAAACCUUUCGUUACAGGUACUCCGCGUGCUUCUGCCAUUAAUCCUCUAAUUUUCUAUGGUUGACCUCGGAUCAGGUAGGGAUACCCGCUGAACUUAA
rnacentral:misc_RNA from 1 species